GGGAAAUGCGUAGAGAUCUGGAGGAAUACCGAUGGCGAAGGCAGCCUUCUGGCAUCAUACUGACACUGAGGUUCGAAAGCGUGGGUAGCAAACAGGAUUAGAUACCCUGGUAGUCCACGCCGUAAACGAUGUCUACUAGUCGUUGGGUCCCUUGAGGACUUAGUGACGCAGCUAACGCAAUAAGUAGACCGCCUGGGGAGUACGGCCGCAAGGUUAAAACUCAAAUGAAUUGACGGGGGCCCGCACAAGCGGUGGAGCAUGUGGUUUAAUUCGAUGCAACGCGAAGAACCUUACCUGGUCUUGACAUAUCUAGAAUCCUGCAGAGAUGCGGGAGUGCCUUCGGGAAUUAGAAUACAGGUGCUGCAUGGCUGUCGUCAGCUCGUGUCGUGAGAUGUUGGGUUAAGUCCCGCAACGAGCGCAACCCUUGUCCUUAGUUACCAGCGGUUUGGCCGGGAACUCUAAGGAUACUGCCAGUGACAAACUGGAGGAAGGCGGGGACGACGUCAAGUCAUCAUGGCCCUUACGACCAGGGCUACACACGUGCUACAAUGGUAGGUACAGAGGGCAGCUACACAGCGAUGUGAUGCGAAUCUCAAAAAGCCUAUCGUAGUCCAGAUUGGAGUCUGCAACUCGACUCCAUGAAGUAGGAAUCGCUAGUAAUCGCGGAUCAGAAUGCCGCGGUGAAUACGUUCCCGGGCCUUGUACACACCGCCCCUCUUCACCAUGGGAGUUGAUUGCACCAGAAGUGGUUAGCCUAACCUUUUUAGGAGAUGACC
rnacentral:rRNA from 1 species